rnacentral:misc_RNA from 1 species
CGUAACCAUCGCCAUACCCAUAGCUUAGGUGAGCUGGUCCCUCCCUUUCUUUCUUUCACAGACGAACUGAAACACAGAUCAUGUCUUUUCUCUAUCCAAAACCCUAAAACACAACGAAAUCAAAACGACAAUGUCACUCACCUUUCAUCGCCUCUUCGCAAUCGCAAACUCACCUUCUCGCCUGCCUUUCUACUUCAUUACCCCCAUUAAACCCUCUCUUAAAAACCCUAAUUUCUCCCCUCCAAUCCUCUCCCGCCACUUAUCCAAUUCCUUACAUCUACAAAAUUUCCCCUACAAACCCCAAGUCCUUUUCAGUUUUUCCGCAAAAUCCUAUAGUUUUCCUCUCAAAGCUUAUCAAUCCGAUGACACAGUAAGCGCACAAGUCUCCGAUGGUUUCAAUCUCGAUGUUUUUCUCUCAAUUGCUGAGUUUUUAUGUAUUGUCUUGUCGGCUAUUAUUACAAUCAGUUAUGCAGUGAAUUCUACGGUUUUAAGCUCUAAAAAGACGGUGUUGGGGGUCAUAGGGAGUAACAAGGCGUUUGCUUGGGGAUUGGUGGUGAUGAUGAGUGGCAUGGUGAUUGGUGCGUGGAUUAGGAGGCGGCAAUGGCUGCGCCUUUGUAGAGUAACGGUAAGGGAGGGUCGAGAGAGUGUGAAUUUGGUGGAGAGGAUUGAAAAAUUGGAGGAGGAUUUGAGGAGUUCUGCCACGAUAAUUCGGGUCUUGUCGAGGCAGCUUGAGAAGUUAGGGAUUAGGUUUCGGAUUACAAGGAAAGCUUUGAAAGAGCCCAUUGCUGAGACUGCAGCUUUGGCAAAAAAGAACUCUGAGGCUACUCGAGCACUAGCAGUGCAGGAAGAUAUCCUGGAAAAGGAGCUUGGAGAAAUUCAGAAGGUCUUGUUGGCAAUGCAGGAGCAGCAACAAAAACAACUGGAGCUGAUUCUUGCAAUUGGAAAGGGUGGGAAGUUAUGGGAGAGUAAGCAGGAACCUGGCCAAGAGCAAGCCAAGGUUGAAACAUCUGAUUUGACUAAGAAAGCAAAACAGUUGGAAACGCAGGAAACUCAGGCUUCAGGUGCAAGCAAAGGAACCAACAAUGACAAACCGUAAAAAUGUUGAAGCAGUAAAUUUUCGUCGGAUUCUGCUGCCUUGUUCACCUCACAAGGACAAUUUGCUUGACCUUUCUCUCCACAUGACAGGUGGGCUCUUCUGGGAUCACUACAGCUAUAUCUCUGGUUGUUGAACAAUUAUACGGGAGAAGUUAUCCAGUUCUUGAUCUGAUUUUUACACCGGUGUGAAAACAACGCAGGACAAUAAAUUGUUACGUUGCAUUGUACCAUUUGACACAAAAUUCUCCUUGUGCUCAUAAUUGUAUUUGU